GGAUUUUGCUAUUGUUAAUGAACACAAUGUCACAAGUGAGGGGGACACGUGUUAGAUCCACGGUUUGCCUCUGAAACCUGUAUUCUGUGCAAGUUUUGGAAGCUCUACUGAAAUAUUGAGCAUGUUUCCCUUCUAUUUAUUCCAUUUUUCCUUUCGAAACUAAGUGUUUGACACGCUUGAAUCCCACAAUCCCUAGCCACUUCCUCUGUUGUCUCAAAAUGGGAAACGGCGGAAGCAAAGGAAAGCAGCAGUUGAUAGGGACGUCAUCAGCAGGCUGCCGGAUGAAAUCCUGUGCAACAUCCUCUCAUUCCUUCCAACCAGAACGUCCGUGGCCACCAGCGUCCUCUCUCGCAGGUGGCGCUACCUCUGGAAGAAAGUCCAUGUCUUGGACCUCAACGAUGAUUUCCUUUACACCCCUGAACGUUCACAUAAGGAAGCACAAGAGCGCUUUCUUAUUUUUCUCAAUAAGUUUGAGCUGCUUCGGCGCCCCAUCCGUAAGUUCCACCUCUCUUGCCGGGUGGGUGACUAUGGGUAUAAUGACCGUUUUGAUUGGAUUGAUUACGUCAUCACAAGGGUUAGUGAACUCCAUUUCUCUAUGAGGACCGAUGGGGAGAGUCAUGACUUGCAUGAACCUUUCUAUAGCACUUCGCUCGUGUCGCUCGUUUUGGACGGUAAUAUUAAUAUUUCUCUGGAAGAUUUUGAUCCCACUCACAGUGAAAGUAUUUUCCCAUCCCUCAAGAACCUAGAGCUGCAUGUCAACUAUGUGGACCUCAAUGUGUUACUAUCUGGUUGCCCAGCUCUUUAAACUCUUAGGGUCACUUUAAUUAAUUUCGAUCCUGAAGCAAUCCACAUGCCUCGUCCCCUGAAGAGUUUAACCUUUGAGCAUUUUGCAGGAACAAUAUUCACAUUCCGAAAAUGUGACACUUGAGCUUCUUGAGGUAAACACUUCAUCUCUUGAAUACCUACGUCUCAAAUUACGGGGUUGUUACAAACAGAUUUUGGUUUGUGAUUAUCCCAACAUCAACAAAGCAUGUCUAGAUAUUUAUCAUAAGCCUAGGCAUGUUGCUUGGGUUCCUAAGCUCCUCCGGGCACUUUGCAAAACAAAAUUCUUGUGGCUGCAAGUUUCAACAAUCCAGGUGAUUUGCUUAACAAAACGAUGAAUUUAUUAUGCUUUUAGUCAUGUGUUGAAAUUAAUAUCCAAUGAUCUUUUGCACGCAGUGCUUGAUUCGUGCGCCAGUUCUAGACCUUCCCGACUUUUGCAAUUUGAUUCAGCUGCAACUUGAUUUUUAUAGUUUCAAGAGUAGGCUUCUAAUAGACUUGCUUCACAAUUGUCCUAAGCUUCAAGCUCUAAAAAUUAAUAUAUCUGAGUUCGUUCUUGAUUAUUGGUACGGGUCUUACUCUUACCUAAACUCCCAUAAACGCAAUGAUUGGACACAGCCACUUAGCGUUCCUAACUGUAUUGUAUCAGACUUGAGCACUGUUGAAUAUCGAGGAUAUCGAAACACUCCAGAGGAGCAUGAAUUUACUGCAUAUAUUUUACAAAAAGGACUUGUUUUAAAGACAAUGAGAAUUCAUGCUAAAUAUUGUGACCUACCCUUAAAAGGUGAAGUUUUCAAGGCAUUAUCUAAAAUACAAAGGGGCUCUAGCAUGUGCCGAGUUGAAGUAGACUAACUGAUCAGCAUUUACCUGUGGUAAGGACUUUGUUGCUCUAUGCUCUCGGCUCUCUGCGGUUGACUGUAUUAAAGCUGCAUUUAUUUAUGUAUACGGAACUAUAUGCUUCUUUUGCAUCAAUGUUUACAUGGAUUUGUCAGUUAUUUGUUUUUUCGAAUACCUGUGACAAAUUCUAAAUAGUUUGGUAGGAAUGUAUGAUCUAUGGGGAUUGGCAAACAGAACCAGUUCCAUUCUUGGUGGUUGGAUUUGAAAUGUUGAAGUAUGUAUGUAUUUCCUUGUCUCUUU